AGGGCCCUAGGAGCCAGGUAGAAACCACACAGGUGCAGGUUGCUGUGGCAACAGGCUAACGAGGAAAUUAGCCUGCACCUGCACCCAGUCAGCUGACCGGAAGACGGCAGGGCCUGGGGCACAUAUGAACCCCAGGACUGAGGCCAGCAGGGGUUAGUUCUCUGACAGCAGCCAGGGGAAGGAGUGUGCAGAAAAGAACUGCUCAGAGAUGCUGUGGGUGCCUGAUAUGCCGCUUACAGGACUAACAGGGUUCCCGGAGCUCACCAGCCAGUGAGGAUGAAGCCUAGAGGACAUCUUAUCAAUGACUGAAGACAAAAGAAUAACUUUCUUCCAACUCGCUGAAGGAACGGUCUGCCACUGAAACAAGAUAACCAGUACACUGCCUGAGAAAAAAAAAGCACUCUGAGAUCUGGAAGCAAGUAUAAAACAGAAGGUUCUUCUUCCUUCCUCAGUCUAAUGACUGUAGGCCCAAGCUACACUAGGAAAAUUUGCAUCAGUGAUGUUGGAGCAACUUACACCUGCUUAAGCCACUUAUGAUUUGUCUUCAGCCAGGAUUUAUACGUCCCUGCAAAUUUCUCUAAUGUAGUCAGUACUUAAUCAGGAGAUAUUCAGGGAAAAUAGCCUAGCUUCAGUGAAAUCAGUGAAGUAACUCUGCAUUUAAGUAUAUUAAAUAUAUAUAACUGUGUCAGAAUGUUAUGUGUUGUCAUUUAAACUACAAGGUGUGUUUUUUAAAUACAAUCCAUUUCAGAUACCAAUUCAUUAAUUUAACAAAGUUAAAUCUCUGUACAAAGGGCUGCCAUAAUUAGGUAAAUAUCUGUCUUAAAAUAUCAUUACACACAGCAAACAUGUAGGAUGUGUCUUUACUGCCAAAAAGUGAUAUUUUUAGAUAAUUAACUUAACAUUAACUACCCAGGUGUAAACUUGUAGUGGAGAUAAAGCACAGGCAGUUUGUACUUGGAUGUAGCUUUCCAAGAUUAACACUGUUCCAUCUAUUCUCACCUAGUUACAACUAAGUAAAAAGCAGACUGCUUUUUCUCAGCUACAGUAAUAUAGGUCUCCUGAGGUGUAAAACACACCUUUUUUGCUCCCAACAUCAUAUAAACAAAGAGCAGUUCUGUGACAGCUCUUUAGAGAGGGUACCUCACUGUUAAGCAGACAUGUAGUUGAAUUUCACUCAAACAGACAAGUUUCCAGUCAUUUGAAAAAGGGUACAAAUUAAAAUAAAAAUACAUAUAAUGCACAUUAAAAAUAAUUACAAGGUGAUCUGCAAAAGUUCCUCAUCAGCUAGGAUUUGAAAUCCAAACACUAAAACUUAUGUAAAUCUUUUGUAAUGGUUACAGAUCAUGUUACUGUCAAAAAGAGAUAUGUAUAUGAAGUAAAAAAUAUAUAUUUCCCCAGAAGUUGUACAAAAACUGCUUUUCUCUCAUUAUUUAUAAUGUAUUUGCUUAGUUACCAACUAUGCUACUGGACACCAAUCUUAUCUUCCAACCCUCUCCCACCCCCAAGGAUUUAACUUCCACCUUGGCAGAUAAGUUUUGGAGAUUAUUUUAAACUUUGUGAGGAUGCACUAGCUUGUCAUGGGUGCUGAAAGUCUUUACUUUUCUGUUUGAGUGAAAUUCAGCUACAUGUAGAGGGCUUAUACAAAUUCCUGCACUACCCUGAUUGAUCUAGGUUUCUGUAUAGUGCCCCAUCAGCAGAGAUAUAACAGAUGGGUUGAACUGAAAGCAAAAUGAGAGACAAAUCUCUCCCCCUCUUUCUCUCUCUCUCUUUCUCUCUCUCCCCUUUCCUCCUUAACUAUAAGAAUUUCUAAAAGUGCACGCAGGGUAGUGGAUGCACUUUAUAGACCAGUGGUUCUGUUUUCUUAGUCAGCUUCAAAGCACCUCUAGGUAGACCCAAGGUGCCCCUCAGAAAAUGUCAGCUCUUCGUUUUCUCUCAUUUUUUGUUUACAGGGAAAUGAUAGAGCAAUUCUUUUGUUGCAUCAGGUUGGAAUAUUUUGAACACUAUAGAUUCCUAUUUAAAAUCUUUGUGUUUAUUUUGUGAAUCAUGUUUGUACGCCUAACAGUGCUACCAUUGUUUGUC